rnacentral:rRNA from 1 species
UAGGGAAUCUUCCGCAAUGGGCGAAAGCCUGACGGAGCAACGCCGCGUGAGUGAUGAAGGUCUUCGGAUCGUAAAACUCUGUUAUUAGGGAAGAACAAAUGUGUAAGUAACUAUGCACGUCUUGACGGUACCUAAUCAGAAAGCCACGGCUAACUACGUGCCAGCAGCCGCGGUAAUACGUAGGUGGCAAGCGUUAUCCGGAAUUAUUGGGCGUAAAGCGCGCGUAGGCGGUUUUUUAAGUCUGAUGUGAAAGCCCACGGCUCAACCGUGGAGGGUCAUUGGAAACUGGAAAAAUUGAGUGCAGAAGAGGAAAGUGGAAUUCCAUGUGUAGCGGUGAAAUGCGCAGAGAUAUGGAGGAAAACCAGUGGCGAAGGCGACUUUCUGGUCUGUAACUGACGCUGAUGUGCGAAAGCGUGGGGAUCAAACAG